rnacentral:rRNA from 1 species
AUUGAACGCUGGCGGCAGGCUUAACACAUGCAAGUCGAGCGAGCGGCGGACGGGUGAGUAUUGUCUGGGAAACUGCCUGAUGGAGGGGGAUAACUACUGGAAACGGUAGCUAAUACCGCAUAACAUCAGAUGUGCCCAGGUUGGAUUAGCUAGUCGGUGGGGGAAUGGCUCACCUAGGCGACGAUCCCUAGCUGGGCUGAGAGGAUGACCGGCCACACUGGAACUGAGACACGGUCCAGACUCCUACGGGAGGCAGCAGUUGGGAAUAUUGCACAAUGGGCGCAAGCCUGAUGCAGCCAUGCCGCGUGUGUGAAGAAGGCCUUCGGGUUGUAAAGCACUGUUAGCGAGGAGGCGUUACUCGCAGAAGAAGCACCGGCUAACUCCGUGCCAGCAGCCGCGGUAAUUG